CCUACGGGAGGCACCAGUGGGGAAUUUUCCGCAAUGGGCGCAAGCCUGAUCCAGCAAUGCCGCGUGUGUGAAGAAGGCCUUCGGGUUGUAAAGCACUUUUAUCAGGAACGAAAUACCACGGGUUAAUACCCUAUGGGGCUGACGGUACCUGAGGAAUAAGCACCGGCUAACUUCGUGCCAGCAGCCGCGGUAAUACGAAGGGUGCAAGCGUUAAUCGGAAUUACUGGGCGUAAAGCGUGCGUAGGCGGUUUGUUAAGUCUGCUGUGAAAGCCCUGGGCUCAACCUGGGAAUGGCAGUGGAAACUGGCGAGCUAGAGUGUGAUAGAGGAUGGUGGAAUUCCCGGUGUAGCGGUGAAAUGCGUAGAGAUCGGGAGGAACAUCAGUGGCGAAGGCGGCCAUCUGGAUCGACACUGACGCUGAGGCACGAAAGCGUGGGGAGCAAACAGGAUUAGAUACCCCUGUAGUC
rnacentral:rRNA from 1 species